rnacentral:tRNA from 1 species
GGGCCUGUAGCUCAGGUUGGUUAGAGCGCACGCCUGAUAAGCGUGAGGUCGAUGGUUCAAUUCCAUCCAGGCCCA